ACUCAAAUGAAUAGACGGGGGCCCGCACAAGCAGCGGAGCGUGUGGUUUAAUUCGACGCAACGCGAAGAACCUUACCAGGGUUUGACAUGGCGCUUAUAACCAUCGAAAGGUGGGGCCCGCAAGGGGUGCGUCACAGAUGCUGCAUGGCUGUCGUCAGCUCGUGCCGUGAGGUGUCGGGUUAAGUCCCGUAACGAGCGCAACCCCUGUGGCUAGUUGAGUGUCUAGCCAGACUGCCGCGUAAGUUGGAGGAAGGCGGGGAUGACGUCAAGUCAGCACGGCUCUUACAUCCUGGGCUACACACACGCUACAAUGGGCGCGACAGAGCGAUGCGAAGCCGCGAGGUGGAGCUAAUCGCAGAAAGGCGUCCUCAGUUGGGAUUGCAGGCUGCAACUCGCCUGCAUGAACGUGGAGUUGCUAGUAACCGCCGGUCAGCACUACGGCGGUGAAUACGUUCCCGGGCCUUGCACACACCGCCCGU
rnacentral:rRNA from 1 species